GUAUAUCUACUGUUAUCUACUGUUAACCUGACAGCUACGGUAUAUCUACUGUUAUCUACUGUUCACCUGACAGCUACGGUAUAUCUACUGUUAUCUACUGUUCACCUGACAGCUACGUAUAUCUACUGUUAUCUACUGUUAUCUACUGUUCACACACAUACCAACUCGUGGAUAUUGACAGCUAUAACAAUAACACUACAAACGACAUUAUAUUCCUCCCUCCUGUCCUCAGUUCCAGUGCCAGUGUGUGGAUCAAACAGUGCGGAGUCACUAGAGGCCGUCUGUGUCCUGACCACAGAGAGACAGAGCUCUACGCUGGAGAAAGAACAGCUACUGAGGGGACAGAUCACCUGUGGUCAGUAUCUGUACUGUCAUUCCAGGACGUCACCUAUCACUUCAGAGUGGCCAAGUCUGUGAGUAUUGCAUUUAAAUACGUUUUAAACCAUUUCAAAUCCAUAUAAAAGUUGCUUCCUCUAAACUUGACCUCUGUCCUCUUCUCCUUCUGGCAGAGUGAAGUGAGAUGUGGCGUAUCCACGACAUCGCCAUUCUCUGACUACUACUUCCUCAUUCAAAGCAGCUGCUCAUGAGAGGAGAGAAAACUAAGCAUGCAAACUAGUAUUCUGCUUUGAACGUAUCUCUUGACUGACCCAGGAUAUCUUAACUACUACACCUCCUAUCCCAUCCCUCUCUCACUCUCUCUCUCUCUCUGGCUCCUUCCUUCCAAUAGGGGAUCGAAAAACGAUUUGUUCUGCUCUCAAACUUAUGAGAGAGGCAUGAAUGUGGGACUGUAUCCACCACAGCUCCGAUAACUUACAUGAUGUGAUACGCAAGUCUAUCAUGAUGAUAUAGACUUACAGAGCAUUCGGAGAGUAUUCAGACCCCUUGACUUUUUACAUAUUUUACCACAUUUUACAUAAGUAUUCAGACCCUUUACUCAGAACUUUGUUGAAGCACCUUUGGCAGCGAUUAC
rnacentral:lncRNA from 1 species